AUAUGUUGUAGUGGCUCUAUAAACCCCCAACAAAGACAGACAGAAAGAUGAAGGUCUUCGGAUGAACGUGUGGAGUAAUGCUCACUGAACGAGUAACAAAGGCAAACUGAGUCAUGAACGUUUGAGCAGCUGCGUCCCACGGGCAGGCAGACGCGUCUGGACUACUUGCAACUGGAGAAAUUUCACUUCCAGUGAGUAAGACAUCAUCAGCAUUCAAGGAUGUCACCUUCACAAAGGAGCAGUAUCAUUAAAAAUGAGAGAAAAAAGAAAGUAGUGAUUCCUUUGGCAAAGAAGAUAGAAAUAUUGGACAAACUCAAAUCUGGCAUUAGAGUGUCUGAGCUUGCUCGCCAGUACCAAGUCACUCACACUACAAUUGUCAAUAUGAGGAAGUCGGAAGAAGCAAUUAGAUUAAGUGUUCGUAUGGCAGGUAACUCCAGUCAUACCCGCAAGAUGAUUACAGCAAGGCCUCCUAAGAAAAGUAAGAUGGAAACAUUGGUUUUUCAUAUAC